rnacentral:rRNA from 1 species
AACGCGAAGAACCUUACCCAGGUUUGAAAUAUAUAGGACAGUUACAGAAAUGUAAUCUCCCGCAAGGGUCUAUAUACAGGUGCUGCAUGGCUGUCGUCAGCUCGUGCCGUGAGGUGUUGGGUUAAGUCCCGCAACGAGCGCAACCCUUAUCUUCAGUUGCUACCAUUUAGUUGAGCACUCUGACGAAACCGCCUCGGAUAACGGGGAGGAAGGUGGGGAUGACGUCAAGUCCUCAUGGCCUUUAUGUCCAGGGCUACACACGUGCUACAAUGGCCGGUACAAACCGCUGCAAACCCGCGAGGGGGAGCUAAUCGGAAAAAGCCGGCCUCAGUUCGGAUUGGAGUCUGCAACUCGACUCCAUGAAGCUGGAAUCGCUAGUAAUCGUGGAUCAGCAUGCCACGGUGAAUACGUUCCCGGGCCUUGUACACACCGGAGUA